CAGUAGCCGCGGGAAUACGUAGGUGGCAAGCGUUGUCCGGAAUUAUUGGGCGUAAAGGGCUCGCAGGCGGUUUCUUAAGUCUGAUGUGAAAGCCCCCGGCUCAACCGGGGAGGGUCAUUGGAAACUGGGAAACUUGAGUGCAGAAGAGGAGAGUGGAAUUCCACGUGUAGCGGUGAAAUGCGUAGAGAUGUGGAGGAACACCAGUGGCGAAGGCGACUCUCUGGUCUGUAACUGACGCUGAGGAGCGAAAGCGUGGGGAGCGAACAGGAUUAGAUACCCCCGUAGUCCCUGUCUCUUAUAU
rnacentral:rRNA from 1 species